UACGAAGGGGGCUAGCGUUGUCCGGAUUCAUUGGGCGUAAAGAGCUCGUAGGCGGUUCGAUAAGUCGGGUGUGAAACCUCCAGGCUCAACCUGGAGACGCCACCCGAUACUGUCGUGACUAGAGUCCAGUAGGGGAGCGUGGAAUCCUGGUGUAGCGGUGAAAUGCGCAGAUAUCAGGAGGAACACCAGCGGCGAAGGCGGCGCUCUGGGCUGGAACUGACGCUGAGGAGCGAAAGCGUGGGAGCGAACAGG
rnacentral:rRNA from 1 species